rnacentral:lncRNA from 1 species
ACACCUGCAUUGGGCACCUGAACUUUCUUUGUUCCAUACCCUCUACUCUUGGUACCUCAGGUUUGGGUGACCUCUAUUAGUGGAUCUUUUCUCCUGUGACUCGGUAAUUGCGAAUAGCCAGGUCUCUCUCAAUGAGAGUUUGGAGGAGGGGGAACUAUUACCCUUGUCUUUAUAUUUCUCUCAUUCCUACCUAUCUCUCUAUGCCUGUUUCCUCUUCUACAAAACUGGGAUAAUAAUAGUUAUCCAUAGGAUUAUUAGUGAAGACUAAAUGAGUUAAUGCAUAUGAAGAAGCUAGAACAGUGUCAGGCACUAUCAAAAUUUUGCUGUGGUUGUUAUUAACAGUAUUGUUAGUAUUAUUACUGCCCUGGCUUGAGCUCAGUCAAGAAUGGCAUGUGGCCAAUUCUCAGCUACAGUUAAUAGUAGUUUAUAGUUAAUAAAAGCCAACUGAAGAGGGAGAAUUCAAAUAUAUUCAUUCAGUAAUUUUUGUGAUAUCCACUAUGUGCUAGGCACAGUGUUAUUUACUGACAACUUUCUAUGAUCUAAUAAAGCCAGAGGAGCUGUGUUCAAACAAUAAUUAAAAGCAUCAUAAAGAUGAACUCAGAGUUUAAUGUAAAGAAUGCCUAGACCCUUGGUCAGUGGCAUGAAUGGCAUUUCCUUGCCUACCUUGGCUGAAGCAAGGGUCCCCUUCCCAACUGAAUUCUUACUCUUUUAACUGACAACACUUACACUUUGUUCUCUUCUCUGCUUGAGAUUUUUUACAGUUUCAUCCUAUUUCUCCUCUGGAUUUCCCCCCUACACAACCACAAUGCUUCAUUUGUUUAGAUCAGUUUAAUCAUUUUCCAGGCAUGGUGAACAGUUUUCCUAUGUGCUUCUUAUUCUCUUCACCAUAGUUCUCGACAUCUAUUGGUUCUAUAAGUUGAUUCAGCCUAGUGGAUGUAUUUGGUGUUUUAAGUUGUGUCAGGUAUGGAGUUAAAAGGUAAAUAUUAAGCUGUUCUUUUCCUUGAGGAGCCCUAUAGUUCCAUGUGGAAGAGACAGGCCCCAAAGUAGGGCAUCUCAGUAUGUUAUGGGGAGUCUGAACGCACAGUAUGCUUUGGCAUCCAUCCAUGUCACAGCUUCCCCUCCACCCCCGUUUCUCAUUACAACACGUACUGCCCAUUAUGUGAAAACCUGGUAUUCUUGACUCACAAUCUGUAGGCGUUACACUCUGUUUUAUACUCUGAGUUUUUUCCAGUACUGGUAAUGGGUUGUACUGAAUCAUUUAUUUACAUUUCCUUGGCCAGUUUAUUUUGACACAUGACAUGUAUUUACUGAUGGAGAAAACACAUGCAGUUUGUGGAUAUGGUGUAAUAUUUUUCCUUUGGAAAUAGAAGAGAGACCUCACUUAAGUUUUACUGGAUGAAUAGUCACCUUGAUGUUUUUAAAUGGUUUCAAAGCAGUACAUGCUGCACUAUCCCUUCUGUGCUUAUUUACAUACAUGUAGACACAUACAUGUUACAAAGAAUAGGAAGAAGAUAGUAAUAUAUAUAUAAUGUACUAUUUGAAUAAUAUUUGAAGCAAAGGAAAACAAGUGGCACAUCACUAAUUUGGACUCUUUCACAUGUUUAUUACCAUAUUUAUUUAUUGAGACUAAGCAUCCAUGCCUUCAUUAAUCCUUAGUGCUUGCUAUGAAAUUAUUUCUUGUUCCACAUAUUUUUAAUCAAUCUGGAUCCAAGUUCAGUCAAUAUUUAAUACACUGUAGGAAUUUCUUUCACUUUAUUGAAUUUGCAUUGCUCAUCUAGUUCUAGAAUAACUUAUUUUCUUAUAGUUAUUGUGCCUAUAAUUCUGUUAUUUCCUCAAGAAGAGUAGGGAUAUCUAGCUAUGACUUGGUGGGACCACAGAUUAGAUCUUUCCAUCUUAGGUUAUGUAGCAGUAACAUUAGCACAUGAUCCAACUUCUUACACGGUGCUUUGGCCAAGAUGUUACUCUUAGUUUUUCUCCCAUCUCUCUGAGUGGUACUUUUGGCAUGGUUUUGUAGCCUUUGGUCCCUCUGCUGGUGUCUCCAGUGUUCCCCAGGAUUUUCUCCUUGGCCCAUUUCUAUCUAUCUUCUUCUUAUACAUGCUCCAUUUGUCAUCUCAUUCACUCUCAUGACUUUAAGUAACACCCAUAAGAUUUUUUUUCUUAGCCACACCUGAGGCCAGGGAUCGAAACCAAGAUCUGAGCAGUGACCCAAGCUGCUGUAGUGACAACACAAAUCCUUAACCCACUGAGCCAUAAGAGAAUUCCAAAUGCCCAUAAGAUACUGAAUGCCUGAUAUGUAUUUCCAGGCUGGAUCUUUUCAGCUUCCUAAGGAAAUCACCAGGACCUCGCAAUGGCGCUACAAGCCCUACCUGACUCUAUUGAAAUCUGUCACUUGUUCCUCCUCCUUGUCCCCUUCAUGGUGAAGCAGCAUUUCUCUACAGAGAAACCAAAGUCACUUGUGAUGCUCUUUCUCUUUCACCUUCCACAUGAAAUCCUAUCAUUCAACCCAAGUGCACCUCCCCUGUUCUUUCUGAUUUCCUGACACUGCUUAACUCAAAGCCUUUCUCAUCCCUUACCUGAAAGACUGACAGACUCUCUCUUUCAUUUCUUACUUCUACUACCCACAUUGCCAUGAGUACCAACUUUCAAACAUGUACCUCCUUCAUUCUGAGUCAUGCCCAUGGGCUGUAGGAUAAAGUUCAAACUCUCCAGCAGGACCUACAAAGCACUCUUCCACAUCUGGCUGAGCAAUCAGCCUCAUCUCCUAGUUCAGGUCUCCUCAUGAUGCUCAGACAAGUCCUUUGCCCCAGACACUUCACCUUUUCCCAAUAUGGUCUUUGCCCUUUUAUUUUUUUGUAUUUUGUUCAUGCUAUUUAUUCUCUGUGGACUGCCCUCCCUCUUCCCUCUUCUCUGCUGAGAAAACUCUUCCUCAUUUUUUUUUGUCUUUUUUUUUUUUUUUUUAGGGCCACACCUGUGGCAUAUGGAGGUUCCCAGGCUAGGGGUCCAAUCAGAGCAGUAGCAGUCAGCCUAUACCACAGCCACAGCAAUGCCAGAUCCUAGCCACAUCUGCAACCUACACCACAGCUCAACACCGGAUCCUUAACCCACUGAGUGAGGCCAGGAAUGGAACCCACAACCUCAUGGUUCCUAGUCGGAUUUAUUUCCACUGCGCCACGACAGGAACACCUCUUCCUCCUUUUUUAGGGCUCAUUGCAGAUCUCACCUGCUUGAGAUGCCUUUUCCAGGCUUCCCACUCUGUGGGCUGCUCCUCACACUGUGCCUCCACAUCACUCUGUACUGACCUUGGAUAUGUUCAACACCAGAACUCAGUAGUGCACUCAUUUAUCUCUUUUAUAACUAAACUUUGAGCUCUGGUUGGAUAGGAAACUUCAAGUCAUCCAACAUUUUUUCAAUUACCCAACGCAGUCCCUGUCAUAUACAAGACUCCCUCAACUGUAGACCAAAGAAGUAAACUUUAUAGUAAUAGUUAAAGAAAUAUCAAGAAAAGCAUUUUGUGUGUUUUUUUUUUCUCAUGCCCGUCCUCAGCUGUAUCAGUCACUCAUUUGUCCAUCUUUCGGUUUCCUCCGUCUCCUUUAAUACUACUUUCUCAUCUUUCUUUCAGGUAUGGGCCUUCAGUAUUGCAAAGCAUUAGAACCGGGUAUAUCUGCAGUUUCCUGGUGGUUUGGAGUGUUAAUAUUUUAAACACCUUUGAGUUUAAUAGCCUGUCUUUCUCUAAACUAGACCUGUCAGUGAGAGUGCCAAGUGCCUCCUCAGUUCUCCCACCUCUGAAACGCCCUAGCUGUUCAAUCCUAAUUGGAAACAUUUUAGGGGUAGAAGUGGCUUUUUGUUACUCUAAAUUUCUGUUAACCUAAGGGAUGGCUUUGCAUCACAUUCAUAUGCCUUGUGGUUGCCACCUUUUUAUUUUUUGUGUGGCCAAAAUUCAUAAAUCAAGAUCAGAACACCCAGUUUUUCUCAAAUCAUCCUAAGCUGUCAUGAUCUUAUUUUUUUCCAAUCAGAAUGAGAUUUUUCUCACAAGCUGUGAUUCUUACUCCACCAACUCCUCCUUCCUGAUAGAAACUUCAUAUAUAUUGAAGGGGCUUUGUGUGUUCUAUUAUUAUUAAAGCUAUAUUUUGUCAGAUUAAUGCUGUCUGUUCACAAAGAAGCAUUGCCAUUUUCUUCUCAAUGUAAUUGGGCAGGGGUUGAAUGCCUUUAUAAACAAAAAUAUAAAACAAUUCUUAACAUAUUCUGAUAAAUAAUAUAGUCCCAAAAGAUAUUUCCUUUGUGAUAAAUUGAACUCUAAUUCAUGAAUUUUUAAAUUGUUCCUUCCUGCUAUAGACAUGAAUUUCUAAAGUGUGUGUGUGUGUGUGUGUGUGUGUGUGUGUGUGUGUGUGUAGACAUUAAUUAUUGUCAGGGUGGGGAGUAGAGCAAAUUGUGGCCCUAAAUUUCUUUUAAUAAUAAUUUAUAUAUCCAUGUCUCCUUUCUUUUCCAAAUCUGGCUUCCUUAUUAUUUUAAUGGUUUCUAGCUUUACUACUAAUGCAUGAACUUGACUUUUCUAAAUCAUCUUUUUAAAUGGAAAGUAAAAGCUGUGAAAUGCAAAAACACUUUCAAGUUAACAAUAGUAAGUUAAUAUUUAUUGAACACUUACCAUGUGCCAGACACUCGAAUAAGCACUUUAUAUAUACUGUCUCCUUUGGUCAAGAAUUAUAAUCCAAAUGCAAACACUAAAUGAAAUACUUAAAAGCAAAGGGAGUUCCUCUUGUGGCUCAGCAGAAACGAAUCCAACUAGGAACCAUGAGGUUGGGGGUUCGAUUCCUGGCCUUACUCAGUGGGCUAAGGAUCCGGUGUUGCCAUGAGCUGUGGUGUAGGUCACAGACACAGCUUGAAUCUGGCAUUGCUGUGGCUGUGGCGUAGGCCGGUGGCUAUGGCUCCGAUUAGACUCCAAGCCUGGGAACCUCCAUAUGCCAUGGGUGCGACCCU